rnacentral:lncRNA from 1 species
CUUUACCUUCUCAGUGCCUGUGAUUCUGGCUCUUUUUAGUUGGUUUUAAUGACCUUUUGUUAAGUAGUCUAAUACGUUUUCUUGUUUUGUAUAUUGUGCUAUUCUUACCAUGCUAUGCAAAGACCACAAGAAGAGGUGCCAUUAUGAUAUAACUCUUAUAUACACAGUGUUACCUUUGUUCCUUGAGCUGUCGGAUGACCUUGUCCCAGUUAAGCAUGAAUCCUUGAGGUGUACGAGCUCAGCACUGAACACAGAGCUCUGCAAUGACAGCAGUGCCCCUCUGUGA